UCAAAAUCAGCUGUACCCCAAAAUUCAUCCUCCAAUUUUUAAACCCUGGAGUCUUUAAUUCAAUAGCCACCUAGGAGUCAAUUUCUGGAAUAUCACUAUCAUACCCUAUCAAAAAUAAAAAUCUCAAGGAAUUCCAACUUCCUAAACCAAUCUCUGAACUGCAAUAACCACCACUUAUUACAAGUGGAGGUAGCCGUGCUACAGCUGAUGGGAAAAGGAGAACAGAUGAGAAUUUUGGCAAGGGUUAGACCAGGAAGAUCAAAAGUCUUCCUGGUAAAUAAGAGAUUGAUAGACAGUCUAUGAUGCCUAAAUGGGUGGCAUUUGGUCAAAAAAGUGGCAGGUAACUGGAAACCGCGUCGUCCUUUGUCCUCGGAGUCACGUAAAUGCCGCCCUUAUUCUCUACUUUUCACACACCACAUUCACGUGCCCACCACCAGAAAACACUCCCAAAGCCAAGCCUGGUUCUUCUCCAUCUGAUUUUGCCCUCACAGACCUUCUCAAUCUGCAAUAAUGGAGGUCCAUCUGAGGCAGCCUGGUGAGUUGAAAGGACCAAAACAACCUUGGAUUGGAUGUCCUUUCCUAGAGUUGCUUACAACUGGUUCAUCCUUGUCUCCUCUUGGCUAUUGCGCGUGAACAGUACCGUGCAUCUGUGCUGGCGGGGUCGGGUGAAUGAUUCUGAUCAACUUGUGUGUGUUAUUUGUACUUCGUAGGGCACUGCAAUAAUUAAUACGUGUGCAAGAGUAGUGUUUGCAGCACAGUGAAACAUAUGUGGGAGUGGUGGAGCUAUCGUCCGGACACAGUAGCGUGUUGGAAGCAGCUGUAUUUAAGGGUUAUCAGAGUCUCAUGACCUGAAUUGAAGAUUUGGCAGGUUAACCCGAGUUGAUUAGGGUGGAUCCGAUUAAAUCCAAGUAGAUCCAACAUGUUGUCUUCUUAAUAUUGAAAAAAUAAUAUCGUCUUGAUUUUUUCUAGUUAUGCUACUUUUUUACCGGUCGUUCAAGUUGUUUUUAAAUCUGCAAAGUCAACUAGUAUGUCUAUUCGGGUCAACCUCCAUAUAAUUUAUUUACUUUUUCUAUAAAAUAUGUUAAUGACACUUGAAUAUUUUUUUAUGUUUAACAAAAAUUUAAA